AUAAACUGCUUCGCUGAGCGCAGCUGGAUACGCCCGCAGAGGUCCAACCCUGAACAGUUGGGGCAAAAAUGGACACAAUAUUCAAGCUUGAUACAGGUCUGAAUUUGGAUUGUAUUAAAUAUUUGACAUAUUAUAGGUUUCUGAAUAAAUGUAGUCAAAGAA